CCAUGGUUACCUAACCACAGGUUAGCGCUCUGCGGCUGCCAGAAUCACCCCACCCUGAAUGAAGAGUUCCGAUUGACAGGGGACUUCUUCUUUGAUCUGGGCCAUAAAUACCCCGUCGAUUAUUAAACAAACCUUGACGUGGCGGCCUGCUGCCAGGGACCAGCGGCUCGCGUCGGAGCAACGCCCCGCCCCUCCACCCAGCUCCUGGCCAGCUUGGGGACCUUGGGGAUCUGCCGAGACCGCAACAACAACACCACCCCAGCACCCCCUUCCCCGAUGGCUCUGCGGACCCAGGUCGAGGGCGCCCAGGCGGUCGGAACUCUGGGGCGUGUGACCCGCUGGAGGACCCUCAAGCCCCAGAGACAGUGGGCGGGGUGAGGGUGGGGGAUCCCUGCUGCCUGACUCUGUGCUGGACCUAGACCUGUCAGGAGGACUAGGGGACCGCAAGAUACCUAACCUGUGGCGGCAUCCCACUCCGGGUGACAGUGCGCGUGCCCAGGAAAGCAAGUUAACUCCGUGGAGAUUCUGAGUAGACUUCCAUGGCCCUUCCUUAAUUCCUCCGCCUCUCAAGUCUUUAAUUCUCUCUGUUUGCCUGUGAAACUGGUACUAAAAUGUGCGAUUUUA